CGUUUAAUCCAUCAAAUUUGAAAAGCUUUCACUAUUCAACCAUCAAGUAAUAAGACAUUAUUAACUGCAACCUGUUGACAUUCCGAUAACAAAGAAUAGUUGCCAUUUCAAAGUUUGAGCAUCUUCUCAGUUUUUCUCCAUUACGGUACUGCAGUUCCUGGCCAAUUCUUUUCAUCUACUUGAGGCAGUUGACCCCUCGAUUAGCUGACACUAUGGCGAUGCUAGAAAAUCCGAAACCCUGCGUGAUUUGCUAUUACCGUAGUGCGAUGCCUUUCUGUUCUAAGCGUGAUCAUGUGGUUGCUGUAGUUAAAAGAAACAUGAUGGUUUGCAUCUUUUGCGAUGCUCGUUUUGGUGACAAGAAGGCAUUUGCCAAACAUAUGCAUAUGCAUUUCCCAGAAGCGAAAUCAGUGGAAUUUCAGGCCUAGAAGAGAUGAUUCCAAAUUCAUCAUUCAUUUUAUAUUUCCUUUUAAGUUUUCAUUAUGUACUAAACUGUUAAAACAGUUUAAAGUUCCUGUAUUUCAAAUAGUCAUUGUAAUUAAAACACAUUUACACUA